rnacentral:rRNA from 1 species
UACGAAGGGGGCUAGCGUUGCUCGGAAUCACUGGGCGUAAAGCGCACGUAGGCGGAUCUUUAAGUCAGGGGUGAAAUCCUGGAGCUCAACUCCAGAACUGCCUUUGAUACUGGGGAUCUCGAGUCCGGGAGAGGUGAGUGGAACUGCGAGUGUAGAGGUGAAAUUCGUAGAUAUUCGCAAGAACACCAGUGGCGAAGGCGGCUCACUGGCCCGGUACUGACGCUGAGGUGCGAAAGCGUGGGGGAGCAAACAG